rnacentral:sRNA from 1 species
UGGUCUGUAUAAAGCAGGUUUGUUUAUUUUUGGAAUCUUUGUAAAUAGUGUACAUAGUAGGAACCAGUAUGGACUUAACUGUUGUGAAUGCAGCUUUCAUGUUGUAUGCAGUAGUUAGAAUUUGAGAGAGAGAGACUUAUUGUUCCCCGAGUUUAUCAAGGUCAUCUUUUCCUCUCUGCAUUUUUUGUCAGCUUUUAAAAUAACUGUCAAUUAAGGUAUAUAUAUAUAUGUUUAUCACAUUUGUUCAUUUUAUUUUUCGACAAAAAUGGCUUUUUCUUUCUUUUUCUGAAUUGUUCUUGUUGUUGCAUUUAUUUUUGACAGAUUUAUUAUUCUUUUUUUUUUUAAACAGUAUACCACAAUAUUUCUGGGGUACUUUUUGUCUCCUUUAUAAAUUGUAGUGUCAGUUAGUGUGCUUUAGAAAAAUCGAAAUGCGAAUUUUUUUUCCUGAAAUGUUAUCUUGAGCAACAAAUGGUAUGUCUGUGUGUCAGAGGAAAGCUGCAGUUAGUGGGAACAGCUCAACUUUUAUGUCAGAGGCAUUGUACUAAAUCUAUGAAAAAAUACAAAGAAAAUACUGAGUU